rnacentral:lncRNA from 1 species
CCAAUUGAGAUGACGUGGUCAUGUAGUAUACAUGUCUUAAGAGGCUCCAUUAAGGGGGGGGGACUCAAUGCUUUAUUAAAGGAAUUAGAACAAAAGGAGGAAGAUCUAAGGUAACACUAAUGGAAGUUUUGAGAUAGGAUAUUGAAAAGCUUCAAACAACAUUAAUAAGAAUGUAACAAAAAAAAAAAAACAACAUCAAUAAGAAUUCUUCGCGAAUGAGUAUUUCAGAAGUCUAAGAAAAUUGUUGGAACAAGAUUUGAUGGUUAUGGUUAUUAAACAAAAACUUGCAUUUAUCACUCUCUCUUAAGCCAUUCAUUCUAGAGUCCUGUUGCGCCACCCUAGUUUACCACACUUUGCCACUUUCAGCAAUGUCUUGUUGGAUACAUUUCAACCAUUGAGAGAAGGCAUUGAGAGAUUAAUGAGACCUAGCAACCCGAAAAACUCUAUUUUGGGUGGCUUACCGGCUUUUGAAACUCAUCCAGCCACUCACUUCCUAAGUGUUUCCUUUUUCUAUGAUCCUUCUGCUGGUGUGUGUGUGUGCGUGUGAGAGAGAGAGCGAGAGAGAGAUAGACAGACAGAAGGACAAAGAGAGAAAUGUUUCCCCAUACCUAUGCCUGAAUCCAUUCUUGCAUUUGACAAUCUAAAGAUUCAGGGCUCCCAAACAAAAUUUUUAACAUUUAUUUAUUAAAAAAAAGUCCGGAUCAUGAAUCUAGGGUAAUGAAAAUAUUUAAUCGAAUUAUACACCUUAGCUUUGUGGCUAGAGCAUCCCUGGAAGAAAUAAUUCAUAAGCAAAGCAACAUAGGCAGUAUGUUUCAGACUGUCUCAUAAUGUAGCUGCUAGAACUUCAAAAGCGAUGAAAUAAUUUCACCCAUUGAACGUGUGAAGACAACUCUUAGACACUAAUUCAGGAAUUUUCUAUGUGCAUUAAAUGUAAAGGCAAAGUCAGAGG